rnacentral:rRNA from 1 species
AGUGAACGCUGGCGGUAGGCCUAACACAUGCAAGUCGAAUGGCAGCACAGUAAGAGCUUGCUCUUACGGGUGGCGAGUGGCGGACGGGUGAGGAAUACAUCGGAAUCUACUUUUUCGUGGGGGAUAACGUAGGGAAACUUACGCUAAUACCGCAUACGACCUACGGGUGAAAGCAGGGGAUCUUCGGACCUUGCGCGAUUGAAUGAGCCGAUGUCGGAUUAGCUAGUUGGCGGGGUAAAGGCCCACCAAGGCGACGAUCCGUAGCUGGUCUGAGAGGAUGAUCAGCCACACUGGAACUGAGACACGGUCCAGACUCCUACGGGAGGCAGCAGUGGGGAAUAUUGGACAAUGGGCGCAAGCCUGAUCCAGCCAUACUGCGUGGGUGAAGAAGGCCUUCGGGUUGUAAAGCCCUUUUGUUGGGAAAGAAAAGCAGCAGGUUAAUACCCCGCUGUUCUGACGGUACCCAAAGAAUAAGCACCGGCUAACUUCGUG